rnacentral:rRNA from 1 species
AUACAGAGGGUGCGAGCGUUAAUCGGAAUUACUGGGCGUAAAGCGCGCGUAGGCGGCUUGGUCAGUCGGAUGUGAAAGCCCUGGGCUCAACCUGGGAAUUGCAUUCGAUACUGCCAAGCUAGAGUAUGGGAGAGGGAAGUGGAAUUUCCGGUGUAGCGGUGAAAUGCGUAGAUAUCGGAAAGAACACCAGUGGCGAAGGCGACUUCCUGGCCCAAUACUGACGCUGAGGUGCGAAAGCGUGGGGAGCGAACAGGAUUAGAAACCCCUGUAGUCC